rnacentral:rRNA from 1 species
AUUGAACGCUAGCGGCAGGCUUAACACAUGCAAGUCGAGCGCGCAGCGGACGGGUGAGUAAUAUAUGGGAACGUGCCCAAUAGGGGGGGAUAACUACUCGAAAGUGUGGCUAAUACCGCAUACUAUGAUAGCGGCCGAUAUGGGAUUAGCUAGGUGGUGGGGAAAGGGCUCACAGAGGCGACGAUCCGUAGCUGGUCUGAGAGGAAGACCAGCCACACUGGGACUGAGACACGGCCCAGACUCCUACGGGAGGCAGCAGUGGGGAAUAGUGCACAAUGGGCGAAAGCCUGAUGCAGCCAUGCCGCGUGUAUGAAGAAGGCCUUCGGGUUGUAAAGUACUUUCAGCAGGGAGGCGGUACCUGCAGAAGAAGCACCGGCUAACUACGUGCCAGCAGCCGCGGUAAUAC